GAGGGGUGGCCGAGUGGUUUAAGGCGACGGUCUUGAAAACCGUUGAGGUCUGAACGGCCUCCGUGAGUUCGAAUCUCACCCCCUCC
rnacentral:tRNA from 1 species